GACGAACGCUGGCGGCGUGCCUAAUACAUGCAAGUCGAGCGAACAGAUGAGGAGCUUGCGGCUCUGUCGUUAGCGGAGGAGGGGUGAAUAACACGUGGAUAACCUCCCUAUAAGACUGGGAUAACUUCGGGAAACGGGCGCUAAUCCCGGAUGAUCUAUUGAACCGCAGGGGUGAAUAGUGAAAGACGGUUUUGCUGUCACUUCUAGCUGGUUCCGCGCCGGAUUGGCUAGUUGGUAAGGUCAUGGCCUACGAAGGGAACGAUGCGUAGCCGAGGUGAUAGGGGGAUCGGCCACCCUGGAAGUGGACCGCGCUCCAGGGUCCUACGGGAGGCAGCAGAAGGGAAUCUUCGGCAGUGGGCGGAAGCCUGACGGAGCAGCGCCACGUGAGAUAUGAAAGUCCUCGGAGCGUAAUACCGUGUUACUAGUGAAAAACAAAUGUGUCAUGAACUGUGCACGUAUUGACGGUAACGAAUCAGAAAGCCACGGCUAACUACGUG
rnacentral:rRNA from 1 species